UACGUAGGGUGCAAGCGUUGUCCGGAAUUAUUGGGCGUAAAGAGCUCGUAGGCGGUCUGUUGCGUCCGCUGUGAAAACUCGGGGCUUAACCCCGAGCCUGCAGUGGAUACGGGCAGACUAGAGGUAGGUAGGGGAGAAUGGAAUUCCCGGUGUAGCGGUGAAAUGCGUAGAUAUCAGAAGGAACAUCAGUGGCGAAGGCGGCUUCCUGGACCAAUACUGACGAUCAGGUGCGAAAGCGUGGGGAGCAAACAGG
rnacentral:rRNA from 1 species